rfam:Ipomoea nil DNA, scaffold: scaffold3069, cultivar: Tokyo-kokei standard.
ACAAACUCGAGAUGUUGGUGCGGUUCAAUCACAUUGCAAUGUUGUUUAUACAUGAUUCAAUUCUGUGAUAUGAUUGAGCCACGCCAAUAUCACGUGUAGUAUA